AAUCUCAAAGAGAAUUUACAUACCAGGAAGCCCAUGUGUGUUUGUGUUAGUUUUGGAUGUCUUUGUGUAAUCCAGCCCCAUUUCCUGUUUCCCAACAACUGUAACACUCAUUUUAAGUCAAGCAGGGCUACCAACCCACACUUGGUAGAAAAGCUGCUUACCAUUCAGAAGCUAUAGCAGGUAGAUGGAAACCUUAUUAUCUGGCCUCCAAAGAAGCUGAAUAUUUUAUAGCCUUCCCUUAGCUAUGUUCAUUUUCCCUCCAUUAUCAUAAAAUCAGAUCCAUAUUUAUGUGCCCCAAACAAAAUUUAAGAGCAGUUACAUAUCUCUCCCGGUAGCCCUUGUUUCUUUUGAGGGUAACGUUGUGAGGCUAUAGAGACUUAUUCAACAGUAAAACAGGUCAAUCCUUUUACAUGUCUAUUAUACUAAAAAUUAUGUUCAGGGUAUUACUAUUUUAUUUCACCAGACUCAGUCUCAAGUGACUUGGCUAUCUCCAAAUCAAAUCUAUCCUUAGAGAUUAAACAUUUUUCUACCGUUAAUUUUUUUCAAGUCUAUAAUCUGAGCCAGUCCCCACGGAGUGACCAAGUUUCAGAAAUGCUUUCAUCUUCGCAACAUUUUAUAUAUACUAUUAUAUGGGGUGAAUAAAGUUUUAAAUCCGAAAUCUAUACUGUGUCAAAGCUCAAUAUGUGCCAGGUAACUAAACUGUUCACAUCACUAGCGUUGGAUGUAAUAACAGGAUAGUGGCUCACCCCUAAGAGCUGCCAUAAAAUUCCAUUAUGAUAGAUACUACCACCCUCUCUUUGGAGCAACCUUCCUGAUAACCAUUGUGCCAGUGAACUAAGGGAAUCAUCCUUCCUCCUUGCUUUCUAGGGAUCUGUCUUUUUGAUAGUGACUGCUGCACAGACCUUCGCCAAGAAAGACAGCAUAUAAAUUGAGGCCAUUAGUAAAGAUAAUAAGGAUACAACUAUAAUUGAAAGAAUGAAGGAGUGAGGCAAAUCCUAAAAUACUGCAAGUAGGCCCUCUUUAAUAUAACAUAUCACAAGCAGUCUCUACCCAGCAACACUCCCCUACAUUAAGUUCCUGAACAUUCCACCCUUCUCUGAUAGAAACAUGUAAGGGAUAGGGGAGCUUGGCUGUAAUCUUCAGCUUUGCAAAUCAGAUGACCACUAAGAGACUUUCCUAUUAAGUAUACCCAGGUCCAUCCCUAUGCUCCUCGUGUCGUGUAUGUGUUGUUUUUCAAGAAAGGUGAAGAAAGAUGGCUUAUCAGAUGCAAGGAUGGAAUUUGUUUUAGUUAUAUGUGGAGAAAGGAUAGUACUGAAAGAGAACAAAGAGAAGGAUCGGGAAAGAGACUAAAUUGGAGUGGAUUGAUAAAGAGCCUUGAAAUCCUGAAUGACUAAUUCAGUAUAGAGGAUAACAAGGAUUUGUGAGGCAGAUGAUAAUGUUUCGCAAGUAAAGAUGGCUAUUUGGGUGAGGGUAAUUUGGUUUAGAAUACAAGGUGAAGAAAGAUGGGAGACAGGAAGAUAAUUGGUCCAAGCAUGAAGGACAGAAGGAAAACAAAGUCAUUAGAGGCUGUAUAGGAUAGUGAACUUUCACAAUGAUACUUAUAAUAAAAACCUGUUAUUUUACUUUCCCC
ensembl:lncRNA